AUUGAACGCUGGCGGCAGGCCUAACACAUGCAAGUCGAACGGUAACAGGAAACAGCUUGCUGUUUCGCUGACGAGUGGCGGACGGGUGAGUAAUGUCUGGGAAACUGCCUGAUGGAGGGGGAUAACUACUGGAAACGGUAGCUAAUACCGCAUAACGUCGCAAGACCAAAGAGGGGGACCUUCGGGCCUCUUGCCAUCGGAUGUGCCCAGAUGGGAUUGGCUAGUAGGUGGGGUAACGGCUCACCUAGGCGACGAUCCCUAGCUGGUCUGAGAGGAUGACCAGCCACACUGGAACUGAGACACGGUCCAGACUCCUACGGGAGGCAGCAGUGGGGAAUAUUGCACAAUGGGCGCAAGCCUGAUGCAGCCAUGCCGCGUGUAUGAAGAAGGCCUUCGGGUUGUAAAGUACUUUCAGCGGGGAGGAAGGGAGUAAAGUUAAUACCUUUGCUCAUUGACGUUCCCCGCAGAAGAAGCACCGGCUAACUCCGUG
rnacentral:rRNA from 1 species